AUGGUGUUUGCACCCCAGGCAGCCUCCUCGAUGGGAUUGUCUUCGCCGCCGCCGUUUCACUUCGGUCAUCUCAUCACCAUCAAGCUCUCCGCAGACAACUACAUCUUCUGGCGUGCGCAGGUUCUCCCGCUCUUGGGGAGUCACUACCUGCUAGGCUACGUCGACGGAUCGCUUCCCUGCCCACCCGCGCUGGUAGACAGCGUGCACGGUCCGGUCUACAAUCCGGCCCAUCGCAUCUGGACGGGGCAGGACCAGGCGAACCUCUCCUCCAUCCAGGGGUCGCUCUCGCCGGCAGUUGCCGGCCUUGUUGUCUUCGCGAAGACGUCUCAUGAGGCCUGGACCAUCCUUGAGCGCACCUUUGCAGCGCAGUCCCAGGCUCGUGUCUCUGCACUCCGUCGUCAGCUUGGAGAGUGUCAGAAGCUUGACUCCACGGCCACUGAGUUCUACAACAAGGUCAAGGGCCUUGCCGACACAUUGGCCUCCAUUGGACAGCCCCUCACCGACUCCGAGUUCAACUCGUUUAUUGUCAAUGAUCUUGAUGAGGAGUAUGAUGCCUUAGUCGAGAUCAUCAACGAGCGGGGUAACUCGACACCCAUGUUGGCACACGAGGUUUUCUCUCGGGUUUCUCACUGA
rnacentral:rRNA from 1 species